rnacentral:lncRNA from 1 species
GUCACAAUAAUCAGAGUAUUUAUUACAUAGUGGAAGUCUUACAAAAUAAAAGAUAAAUAUAAUAGGAUCUAAAAUCCAUCCUUGGCGCCAGAAAGUCAACUGGGAGAUGCCACCUAGAUCGAAUCGAACUCCUCGAUACGUGGCUCCACUUGAACCACCUGUUCUUCUCCUGUGGGGGUGUGAGACAGCAAGAGUGAGCUCACACAUGUUCAUCGCUCAACAAGUUGUGGGGAAUAAUGUGCAUGAACUCUCCAAAGGUGGGAGUUCAUGUGAUGUGUAAGGCUGAUCGACAAUAGGGGUUAAAGCUGAGCAUUGCUUUUAAUAAGUUGGUCAAAAUUUUAUUAGCAAUUACUAGAUGUAAGUAAAUACCAAACCAUAAUGAAAAUAAUAGAACAAAAUUAAUAAUAAUACCAUGCAAUGCAUAUGACAAAGAAGUUCCAUAAUUUAAUCAUCAGAGAAUCCUGAGCUGCUCAUGACCGCGAGCACGACUAGUAUACCAGUUUUACACUCUGCAGAGGUUGUACCCUGUACCCACAAGUCGUGUACCCCAUGUUGCCAGGGUUAGCUAGACCCUUAGACACUACCGAGGUGAAUGGCUAGGGAUCCACUACGAGGCCUUUACAAAGUUCCACUAGCUUCCGAAAACCCGCUACAGUUUAUGGGAAGAGCACUUGCAAGAAUCCCCCGUUUGACCGCCAUCGCAGCAAAAUCAACCCGAGAACCUCCUUGCAUGCAAUCCCCUACUUCCCUUGCCCCUUUCGGGUAAGGUAGUCUUCCACUAGCUUUCCUAGUUAGUUGGCCAAGGGCGUCCCAUUAAACCCUUGUGGUGGCACAUGUUUCUCAAGUUAAGCUCCAUGUUCCAAUUAACAUUAAUGAUCUUAACAUGAACAUGAAUAGAAUAACAAAAUAACUGGAACAUGGAUAUAAUGAAAUAUUUAUCCCAAAACCAUGUAAAGCAAUAGCAAAACUACCCAAGUGAUUAAGGGAUAACAAGGUAAAGAGAUAAACAAUCUAGGGUGACCUAUCGGGUCCCAUCAAAAUUAAGCCUAUGCAUGGUAAAUGAUUAUAAAGAAUAUUAUUGAGUAACAAAAGUGGUCAAGGGCACAACUUGCCUGGCACUUGGGAUUCCAGUUAUCAGGGUGAUUCUUCAGAUCCUCGUGACCGCACUACUAGUCGUAGCAAUACAAACAAACAGGGUAUAUACAAAAUUAACAUCACACCAAACAUAUGUACAAACUAAAUAAUAAUAUUUUACGCGUUGCUACGAGAUCGCGGGAUCGAGAACUACUGAGAUCGAAGUUACGGUUAUGGAGUUAUGAUUUCAUGGAGGAUUUAUGUGAUUAAAAUGUUAAACUAUACUAUAAAUUGGUUAAUAUAAAUCAUAUAAGAGGUUAUUCUAUAAAUAAUUAUCUCAACUUUAAUCUAAGUUAUAAAUUGAUUAAAGAUUAUCUAGUUAAAUUAUAACCAUAAAAUUAGAAUACUAUAUUAAUAUUAAAUAAGUUAAUCCAAUAGACAUAGAUUAACCCAAUUAUAAAAGUAUGGGAUAUCGUAUAAUAAAUGUUGCUAUUGUGUAGUAGAUAUUUAUACGAAGCUAACGCAACUGGAACGAGUCAAAUCGGAUUUAAAACGGAGGAGAUACGAAUUUCCUAAGGUUUUAUGUAUUUGAUACGAGAUUAAUUAAGACAGUAAUUUUAAUACAGUUUUCAUGUCAAACCAGAGACACUAUGUGAUAAACAAUAAUAUUAUAGAAUUAUAGAAAUUGGAAUGGGUCAAUUUGAAGUUCAUAUGAAUUUUAUAUGAAUUAAACAAAUGCUAGCAUUUAUUUUCACAUUAAAAUCAAUUUCUAAUCACUUUUUCUGAAUUUUAUAACUCUCUGGACUGGGCAUCAAAUACUGCAAACUACAGGGGCCUCGGGGUAAGAAUCUCAAGACACAUUGUACAGCUAUAAUGGACGGCAGGUUCAUUUCCUAAUUCUUCGGGGUCUCUUUAGAAAAAAUGCACGGCCGACGGGUAUGAUAAGUUCCCAGUUGCACGAUCCUACGAGGAUGGCUUAGAUUGGAUCCGCAACCCAGCGAACCGGUACUCUCCCGUGGCUUCGGAUCCAAGACCUACGGUCACGAUCUGACGAGGUACGUUUUAAAUCAAGACCGUCUGAUCCAGAAACAAGCGCCAGGAUCUAACCUAUCCAAGCGCUAUUCCUCAUCUAAUCUACGCCGCCCAAAACAAGAUCAACGGCCCACGCCGUUCGUCCCCAACAGACGCGCACCCCAGGCGGCGCCGCCCCACUCCCGGUGGUGGGCUCACCGGAGCUAGCCAAUCCGGUGCCCCAAGGCCUAAUCCCCAACCCUAGCAGCGAUGGUAUGGUGGCAAGAUCAUGCCGAACCCGACCUGAGGAACGGUGAACCAACGACGAGCACGUAGAUGACGAAUUACGCGCAUGCGUAUCCACGACGCGUCAAAUCACCUCGGCGAGGAAUUCUCGGCCAACGACGCGCGGCAAUCGACAGCGCUUACUACUACACGUAUACGACUUCAAGGCGAACGGAGUAGGUGAGGCCAUACCGGCAUUGGAGGUGCUGACCAGGCCAGCCACGGCGUGAGCAACUCCGCGGCGGAAGGUAGGUCGACGGCGAGGAAUUAAGUCAGCUCAGUUGAUGAUUCCCCAAUGUCCCGGCCACGUCCACCAUCCCCAAGCCCGGAGAAGCGCGAGAGAACCACACCGUAGAUCCUAUCGACGGCGAGAUGGAGAUCACACGCGGCGAACCGAGCUCGUCCACGCCGCACCCUCACUUCACUCAGUUCUCGAUUGCUUCAGUCGGGGUCUGGCAAAACGGGCGCACAGGAGGUCGACG